rnacentral:rRNA from 1 species
UGGGGAAUUUUGGACAAUGGGCGAAAGCCUGAUCCAGCAAUGCCGCGUGUGUGAAGAAGGCCUUCGGGUUGUAAAGCACUUUUGUCCGGAAAGAAAUCCUUGGCUCUAAUACAGUCGGGGGAUGACGGUACCGGAAGAAUAAGCACCGGCUAACUACGUGCCAGCAGCCGCGGUAAUACGUAGGGUGCAAGCGUUAAUCGGAAUUACUGGGCGUAAAGCGUGCGCAGGCGGUUUGCUAAGACCGAUGUGAAAUCCCCGGGCUCAACCUGGGAACUGCAUUGGUGACUGGCAGGCUAGAGUAUGGCAGAGGGGGGUAGAAUUCCACGUGUAGCAGUGAAAUGCGUAGAGAUGUGGAGGAAUACCGAUGGCGAAGGCAGCCCCCUGGGCCAAUACUGACGCUCAUGCACGAAAGCGUGGGGAGCAAACAGGAUUAGAUGCCCUGGUAGUCCACGCCCUAAACGAUGUCAACUAGUUGUUGGGGAUUCAUUUCCUUAGUAACGUAGCUAACGCGUGAAGUUGACCGCCUGGGGAGUACGGUCGCAAGAUUAAAACUCAAAUGAAUUGACGGGGUCAUAGCUG